rnacentral:ncRNA from 1 species
ACUCUUCUGCCACCGGGUAGGAGAGUUAAGCGUCAGAUUUUCUAUCGUUAGGUCUUAGAAGAUAGAAAAUACUGGCGCUUUCUUAUU